rnacentral:lncRNA from 1 species
GGGUGGCUCUGUCAGUUGAGCAUCUGACUCUUGAUUUCACCUUGUGUCAUGACCUCAGGGUCAUGAGAUGGGGCCCCAUGUCAGGCUUACAGUCAAUGUGGGGUUUGCUUGUCCCUCUCCCUCCUUCUCUGCACCUUCUCUCUCUCUCUCUUUCUCUCUCUCUCCGGCUGCAGCUGAUGCAGCUUCCCUUCCAUCGGUUUUGAGAGCCACUCUGAGAGGCAUCUCGUUUCUCCUGAGCAUUUCGUUGGUUUCGCUGCACGUGCAGCUUUUGUUACCCUAUGGCGUCCGCCUCGGCCCCACCCGCGGCCCUGAGCGCCGAGCAAGCCAAGGUGGGACUGGCAGAG